AUCAAUGGGGAGGUAAAAUACAUUACCUCAUUCCUUCCUCUACCCAGGCCACAGUGAGUGAACCACACCAACGUCACUGGAGAAAGGCUUCUGCGUGAGCCCAGCUGAAAAGGACACCAGAGAGGCCGCAGCAGCAGCAGGUCCUAAAAUGGGUACACCACUCAGCCUAGCCCUUGAGGGAUGCCAGAAUUAGCAGACUACAUACUGUUGGCCCAAGCCCCAGGUGUCUCAUCAUAAAAAAAGACAUUAACUGAGUACUGUAACACUUCCCCCUUGGCCACAGCCUCCCAGCUCCCAGUCAGAAAACAGGCACUGCCUACAAGUUUUUCCUUCUAAGGAAGAGGAAUGUGGCUCAUAAAUGCUGCAAGUGCAAAUCAUGCUGCACCUGAAUUUAGCAAGCCUCUGCCAUAAAAUUUCCACGGGAUUCAGGCUGCCCCUGGACAUCUCUGCUCUGUAUCACCAUCACAGUGGCAACAGAAGUGCUGAAGGUCUAUAGUUCAUGCCAGCUUUCCUGGUUGAGAAGCUGCAUACAGCUCUGAUCUCCUCUGCUAAAGAGGCAAAAAUAUCUCCAAAGCAACAGGUAUUCCAACAAAGAGAACCAUCUCUGGGGCUCUUCUCCUUUUCUUUUGGGGAAUUUUUCACUCUAUAUCUUUACUUUUUUUUCCUAAGCAAAUCAGACAGACACAUGAGUAUUCCACAAUUCCACCAGCUAAGCAGUGCAGUUAAACUGGUGACUGAUGAAAUGUCCUUUGGACAAUUAGGACAAAAUUUAGCUUUUAGGCAGACAGACUUAAAGACAAGACUUAAGUGACCACCCACCUGCUUGUUCUGUUUUAGCUCCCUUCCCUCUACACAUUCCCCCUAAGCAGGAACACUGCCAGCAGUGGUCAGCUCUUGUUGCUGUGCUCAGACAAUUAGUGGUAAGUAAUGAAUACACUUAAAGUUCCCCUUGGCUGCUCUUUCUCUUCUUCCCUAUUCAGAUUAGGAUCCAUGUCAUCUCUGUGCUGUGCCAGUCCUUGCUCCUUGCUCUGCCUUCCUUAAAAUAAAUAUUUGUUUCCUCUUUCUCUCAAUUUGACAGUAACCAUCAGAAACCAAUGAUACAACCAUUCAAUUCACUUCAAUACAGAAGAAGUGACAAAUCUUUAUCUACAAUGAGAAUAUACCAAUGCUGCGCUAGACUUUUUUUUUUUUCUUUUUUCUUUUUUUUUUCCCCUGAGUAACUUGGCACAGACACAGGGGAACUUAAGGGAAGGAGAUGCAAAUAACCACCAGCAGUUCCCUUCGGGGCCAUUAACCAGAUGUCUCGUGUAUCUUUGGAAAUCUCCUCAUUCAGUACUUAGCCUGCUUUGUGAGCAUGAGACAGAAGCCCUUUUAGCUGCCAGUGCACGUGCAGGAGCUCCUUUGAACUGAGAUGAAGUUGUUCGAAAGGACCCAAAUGAAUUGCAGGAAGUCUACUUAAGGAGCUCCUGCAAAGUUCCAGCACUUUAACACCACUUUCUACUCUCAGCUUACUCUGAGACUGAAACCAACUGUUAAUGCACAUCAACUAACUUCUCGCUGGUUGACUCAGACAGGUUCCUCUCACCUACAGUCACACAGUACAGAUGGCACAAACUCUGCAGCUUGCCCAUAAUCGCUGUGCUGGAACUCACAGCAGCUACAUACCAUCCGGAUGGGGAAGUGACUCCUGUCCUGGCUCACCACAGCUUCCCUUAGGUUUUCCUGCACUGACAAUAAUUGUUUGAAUAGACUUUAGAUUUUGCUGCUGAAGUUGCUUCAGAUCUGCAGCCUUGUUCUUUUGAGCCAUCAGCUCAGUUUUAUGAGCACUGGUCUAAAGAAGAAAUCUUAAAUGCCUCUAAAUAUCCUGUAGAUUAGUUUAAAAGAGGUUGUGGAUGCCCCAUCCCUGCGGGCAUUCAAGGCCAGGCUGGCUG